CGGCUCAGUAACACGUGGAUAACCUACCCUCAGAUCUGGGAUAACUCCGGGAAACUGGAGAUAAUACCGGAUAAUCCGUGAACGCUGGAAUGCCUUACGGUUGAAAGCUUUAGCGUCUGAGGAUGGGUCUGCGGCCGAUUAGGUAGUUGCUGGGGUAACGUCCCAACAAGCCGAUAAUCGGUACGGGUUGUGAGAGCAAGAGCCCGGAGAUGGAUUCUGAGACACGAAUCCAGGUCCUACGGGGCGCAGCAGGCGCGAAAACUUUACACUGCGCGAAAGCGCGAUAAGGGGACCUCGAGUGCGUGCGCAAAGCGUACGCUUUUCAGAUGCCUAAAAAGCAUCUGGAAUAAGGGCCGGGCAAGACCGGUGCCAGCCGCCGCGGUAACACCGGCGGCUCAAGUGGUGGCCGCUAUUAUUGGGCUUAAAGGGUCCGUAGCCGGACCAGUUAGUCCCUUGGGAAAUCUUACGGCUUAACCGUAAGGCUGCCAAUGGAUACUGCUGGUCUUGGGACCGGGAGAGGCAAGAGGUACCUCAGGGGUAGGAGUGAAAUCCUGU
rnacentral:rRNA from 1 species